rnacentral:lncRNA from 1 species
GGAUUCUUCAAAAAGAGUGUUUCCAAACUCUAGAAACAAAACAGAGUUUCCAUUCUGUGAAAUGAAUCCACACAUUACGUUUUUAGUUUCUAUUGCUAGGUAUUCCAUUUUUCUUAUGAACUUCUAAGGGCUCAGAAAAGUCCCUUCAUAGAUUCUACCUAACAAAUGUUUCCGACCUGUUGAUUCAAAACACAGGUUUCAUUCUGUGAGAUGAAUCUCCACAUCUCAAAGCAGUUUCACAGAUUGCUUACUUCUAGUUUUUAUUUUUGGAUAUUAGAUUUUUCACUGUAACCCUCAAUGGACUCAGCUAUGUCACUUCAUAGAUUCUACAAAAAGAGUGUUUCCAACCUGGGAAUCAAAACACAGGUUCCAUCCUGUUAGAUGAAUCCACACAUCACAAAGCAUUUUGACUAAUACCUUGUUUAUAGAUUACAUCACAGGAUAUUUGACUUUUACUCAUCAGUCUCAAUAGGCUCACAUAUGUCCCUUCCUAGAUUCUACCAAAAGCAUGUUUCAGACCUGGUGAAUCAAAGCCCAGGUCCAUUGUGUGAGAUGAAUCCACACAUGACAAAGCAUUUCAGAUAUCUUCU